rnacentral:rRNA from 1 species
UACGUAGGCAGCGAGCGUUGUUCGGAGUUACUGGGCGUAAAGGGCGCGUAGGCGGACAGUUUAGUCAGAGGUGAAAGCCCAGGGCUCAACCCUGGAAUUGCCUUUGAUACUGAUUGUCUUGAGUAUGGGAGAGGUGAGUGGAACUCCGAGUGUAGAGGUGAAAUUCGUAGAUAUUCGGAAGAACACCAGUGGCGAAGGCGACUCACUGGCCCAUUACUGACGCUGAGGCUCGAAAGCGUGGGGAGCAAACAGG